rnacentral:rRNA from 1 species
AGAGUUUGAUCAUGGCUCAGGAUGAACNCUAGCGGCAGGCUUAAUACAUGCAAGUCGAGGGGCAUCAAGGUACACGAAAGUGUAUUGUUGGCGACCGGCGGACGGGUGAGUAAUAGGUAGGUAACCUACCUCAUACUGAGGCAUAGCUGGGAGAAAUUCCAGGUAAUUCCUCAUGAGGUUAUAUGACACAUGUGAUAUAAUCAAAGGUAUCGCAAGGUACUGGUAUGAGAUGGGCUUACUGACCAUUAGCUAGUUGGUGAGAUAAGAGCUCACCAAGGCGAAGAUGGUUAGGGGUUUUGAGAGAGAGAUCCCCCACAUUGGAACUGAGAUACGGUCCAGACUCCUACGGGAGGCAGCAGUAGGGAAUAUUGGGCAAUGGGCGGAAGCCUGACCCAGCCAUGCCGCGUGAAGGAAGACGGCCUUAUGGGUUGUAAACUUCUUUACUAUGCGACUAACUAGAUUUACGAGAUAAUUCUAUAGAAUGUAGCAUAGCAAAAAGCACCGGCUAACUCCGUGCCAGCAGCCGCGGUAAUACGGAGGGUGCGAGCGUUAUUCGGAAUUACUGGGUUUAAAGGGUGCGUAGGCGGCUAAGUAAGUUGUCAUUGAAAGGCUACAGCUCAACUGUAGUAGUGGUGGCGAUACUGCUUAGCUAAGAACAUGGGAGGGGUACUUGGAAUGUGUGGUGUAGCGGUGAAAUGCGUAGAUAUCACACAGAACACCAGAGGCGAAGGCGGAGUACUAGACCAUAGUUGACGCUGAGGCACGAAAGCGUGGGGAUCAAACAGGAUUAGAUACCCUGUAGUCCACGCCCUAAACGAUGAUCACUAGAUAUUGGCGACAAACAGUCAGUGUCCAAGCGAAAGUGAUAAGUGAUCCACCUGGGGACUACGGCCGCAAGGUUAAACUCAAAGGAAUUGACGGGGCCCGCACAAGCGGAGGAGCAUGUGUUUAAUUCGAUGGUACGCGAG